GUCCUUGUUCAAGAAACUGUAGCAAUGAAUUUGUUACUACAAAAUCUUACUAUGGAAAAAGACUAUAAAUUCAUACGAAAUGCCAUUCUUUGUUAUUAACGACCCCAUUCUCAACCUAGAAAGCAGCAAUUAGGAUACUAAAAGUUUUAGCUAAAUAUUAACAUUUAUGACAAGUAACUAAAUAGAUGGCAUUUUAAGAGAUGCAGAGUAACUGGUAUUCAGAAGAAUGUGAUCAUUGCAAGGACUACAAAUAGUUUCCUUUCCCCAUCUGAAUAGACACAGGUCAUAUGAGGACUCCUUGAGGACUGACCCAAGUAUCUCCUGGAGCUGCCAUGCAGUGUUGCCCCCAUGAUGUAUGCACGAGUCUUCAGGAGUGACAGCUGUUUCAAGUCACUUUGGCAAGAGGAGCUUUCAGAACCAAAGCCCUCACAGACUUCGCCUCAGGAAUAGCCCAUUUCUUUCAUGGUCAGUCUACGCCUAAAUACUUCUGCACAGGUGAGAAGAAUUUAUUGAUCAGGCAGUCCUGAAGGCUCAUUGCUUUAUAAAAGGUAGUCAUCUCCUCAUCUCUGUCCUCAAGAGUGCCUUCUAGAAUAUUAGUCUUGCAGAGUGUGAUCA
rnacentral:lncRNA from 1 species